ACGUUGUCUCAAAACAUUUUAAUUCCAAAGAUAUACACACAAUAUAUUCAUCAAGUGUGACUUUUAGCAGAGCUUUCUUCUCUUUACCCUUUUGUAACUAAAACAUUUCUUUCUAUAGUCACCAGAAAAAAAAAACAUUUCUUUCUACUGAGUUUCAUCCCACUCCACAACCGAAAAUCAUAUGCGAAUAGAACAAUCGCAAACAUUCAUGCAUUGUAUGGUGCAUAUGCCUCAAAGAUUGCCCAAAUUAUCAGAAUUCGGGUAAUAGUUUUAAGCAUCAUUUUUCACCACUAAUCACAGCAAUUGCACGAUCCAAAACCAAAACAGUAACAAAAAGCCGAAAACCCUAAACCUUGAUACCUGAGCCUUGUCAGCGAGCUGAACGACGAGUCGUCCAACGGGAAGAGGAGACUCGUAGGUAUACGAAUAGUUGAUGCACUCGUUGCGCAUGUAGCGCGAGAGAACGCGGCCGUCGGCGGUGAGUCCGGCGAUGGCAACGCCGAUGUGGUCAUCGACUUUGAAGAUCUUCUUCUGGUGAGAAGAGAGCUCGGAGUUGGCCUUGUUGACGCAUGCUAAAACGACGUGCGUUUUGGAUCGGAGGCCAAUUGCGGCGGAACCCUGCUUCACUGCCUCCAUUGGUGCACUUAAGAAAGUGCUAGAAUCUGUUAGGAAACACCGACAGCAGUACCGUAACAGGCGUUUCUCAGUACCUGUGCCGGUGGUAGCCUUGGUUGGGUACACAAAUGCUGGUAAAAGUACCCUUUUAAAUCAAUUAACUGGGGCAGAUGUUUUUGCCGAGGAUAAAUUAUUUGCAACUUUAGAUCCAACUACAAGGAGGGUCCAGGAAUACACAGAGCAAGGGACAUAUAUCAAGGCACAUGUGCCCCUUCGUUUUGCAAGAUUGCUGACACCCAUGAGGCAAAUGUGUGUAUCCCAAUCUUAACUUCUUAAAUGUAUAUAAUUUGGUAGUUUAUAAAGUUAUAAAUAUCUUUUGUAUCAUAAAUGUCACUUUAAAGAUGUACAUAUUUAUGUAAUUCUUGUAAUCAUACUCCCUUUCCCUUUAAAAAUGGAGAUACAUAUAUGACUAAGGAACUAUGGGAAUGCAAGUUUUGCAAAAUGUGAUUGCAACUACAUUUGUCAUACAUGAUUCCAUUCCUUUCUUUGUUUUCAAACAUUAAGAUGGCAUAUUCUGCAAAAUUCCUGAGAUACAUCAGCAAUAUCUAUUCCAUUCAAACAGAAAUGUUUUAUGCUCAUCAGCAAUAACCAAUAGCACAUUAGCAGAGAUGUGGUGUGCUUUAUAUAUAUAUAAAAAAAAAAACUUGAUGUUUCAAAGGUACUCAGAGUAAUGCUACCAACAUUUGAAAUUUGAUUACAUUUUAUUGUGAAAUAUAUAAAGUUUGAUUCAAUAAUUGUAUAAUUAUGUUGCUUAUGUAUCAUGAUUUUAGUGAUCAAAUAUUGUAUUAA